AACUGCAAACGGUGGAUCACUCGGUUCUGCUGGUCGAUGAAGAACGCAGCUAGCUGCGAUAAGCGGUGUGAAAUGCAGGACACGCCGAGCACUUGAUUUUCGAACGCAUAUUGCAGCCUCGGGUCUUUCCCGGGGCUUCGUUUGUCUGAGGGUCG